AGAUGACUCAGCUCAAUCUGCAGGUUAGAAGGUAAACCAGAGGCAGGGGAUUUCUAGUCUGCUUUGGACUUUUGAAAACGAGCUGUGUGAUUCCUGCCAUCUAACCCCUCCUGGCUUCAGUCUCCCCCUUUUGCAAAAGUCAAUAAUAACAAUACCUGGGCCCUACCACAGAGAACGGCCACAGGCACCAAAUAGGAAAAAUGCAUGUAAACUGAUAGCAAAGAACGAAUUCCUUACCAGACUUGAGAUUUCACCAGUAUCAUUUCCCCUGUAGCUUCAAAGAUUUGCAAACCCAAAUCAACAACGUCAAAGCAGUAACAAGAGACUCUGAAGUGGAGCAACAGGGUAGGGAAAUAGACCCUCGGACCCUGCGUCUGUCGCCUGCAUUCAAAUUCACAACUUACUGUGUGAUCCCAAGGCAGAGAAGCCUUUGCUAAUUUCACAACAGGAAAGCACACAGGAAAUUCGAGAACAAGGCAAAUCUACACACAGAGCCCAGCAUCUUCAAGCAAACUCACUGAGACCUCCUAUCUCUGAAGUCUUAUGAGCAAGAAUUGCUACACCCAGGCUUUGCCAACAUGACCCAAAUGCAGAUGAGAAACUGACCAAAACAUUUUAAAACUGUGUAUAUGAAGUUAUUCUGAAAUCAGGACAACAGCCAAGCCUCAGAGAGGAAGGCUUUCUGUUCCAGUGCUGAAUGGGGAUGGAGGAGGACUGGAGAGGGAGCUUUGCCUCUGAUGGAAGCGCUGGCCAUCCUACUGACCAGGACACAACCACAGAACAGUCAAGGGUGCCCAGUACCCAUGGCCCACCAACCUCCACCCCCUUCCCAGUGCUCCAGAAUUUCCACUCUUCCCUGGCCCUCAAAGAACACUGCAAUGCCCCAUUAUCACACCAUCUUGAGGAAACAGAUACUGCCCUCCUGAACUUUGGCAAGAAGCAUAACAGACAUAGCACCUCAGGACUGACCACUCCAGGAAAGUUUUUGCAUAGACCCUCCUCCCAGCACCAGAGAAACACUCUGCUACACUACCCUGUGUCCAUGAAAGACAACUAUGUUCAAAUGAAGAAUUGAGGACUGUGGCACUGCUGAUAUCAGAGACGGACAAUGCUUCAGAGUAUGAGGAGCAUUUGAGUUGGAGAAAUAAUUAGGCACCAUUUAUUUGACUGACUUGGAUAAAUGCUUGUGAACCACUGUUUAAAUUACACAGUUAUUGGACUUCCCUGGUGGCGCAGUGGUUAAGAAUCCACCUGCCAAUGCAGGGCACAUGGGUUCAAGCCCUGGUCCGGGAAGAUCCCACAUGCCG